rnacentral:rRNA from 1 species
UGCCAGCAGCCGCGGUAAGACAGAGGGUGCAAGCGUUAAUCGGAAUUACUGGGCGUAAAGCGCGCGUAGGUGGUGGCGUUAGUUAGAUGUGAAAUCCCCGGGCUUAACCUGGGAAUUGCAUCUAAUACUGCGUCACUAGAGUCAGGUAGAGGGAAGUGGAAUUUCCGGUGUAGCGGUGAAAUGCGUAGAUAUCGGAAGGAACACCAGUGGCGAAGGCGACUUCCUGGGCCUAGACUGACACUGAGGUGCGAAAGCGUGGGGAGCAAACAGGAUUAGAUA